AUAUCAAGUUAAAAGGCGCUACGGCGUCACCUAGAGAUGGAUCCGCGGUGCAUUAGUUAGUUGGUGGGGUAAAGGCUUACCAAGACGAUGAUGCAUAGCCGAGUUGAGAGACUGAUCGGCCACAUUGGGACUGAGACACGGCCCAAACUCCUACGGGAGGCUGCAGUAGGGAAUCUUCCACAAUGGGCGCAAGCCUGAUGGAGCAACGCCGCGUGUGUGAUGAAGGCUUUCGGGUCGUAAAGCACUGUUGUAUGGGAAGAAAUGCUAAAAUAGGGAAUGAUUUUAGUUUGACGGUACCAUACCAGAAAGGGACGGCUAAAUACGUGCCAGCAGCCGCGGUAAUACGUAUGUCCCGAGCGUUAUCCGGAUUUAUUGGGCGUAAAGCGAGCGCAGACGGUUGAUUAAGUCUGAUGUGAAAGCCCGGAGCUCAACUCCGGAAUGGCAUGGGAAACUGGUUAACUUGAGUGUUGUAGAGGUAAGUGGAACUCCAUGUGUAGCGGUGGAAUGCGUAGAUAUAUGGAAGAACACCAGUGGCGAAGGCGGCUUACUGGACAACAACUGACGUUGAGGCUCGAAAGUGUGGGUAGCAAACAGGAUUAGAUACCCUGGUAGUCCACACCGUAAACGAUGAAUACUAGGUGUUAGGAGGUUUCCGCCUCUUAGUGCCGAAGCUAACGCAUUAAGUA
rnacentral:rRNA from 1 species